CUUACCGCACUUGAACCUGUUUCUAUUGCUCAUCAAUACUGUCAAUAUUGUUUCUCUGCGUACUUCAACACUGACAUCUCUAAUCUAAAAGUACUGUAUAUUCCAAUGUUGACGACUCCUACCCGUGGUGGAAGCUGUAGAGUCAUCCAGUUGUCAUUUGCGUAAGGAUUCACGCGUACGUGGCUGGCUAUCUGUGCAUCUUUUACAUAUCCAGUGAAUAUCUUUACCCGGCUCUGGUUUCGGUAUUUCAGGCUACAAAUGCAUAUCAAAAAUUAUUCUGAUGCGCACCUGAUGACACAUUUGGUGAUAGCCACGGCCACAUUUGUCGCAAACAACAAUGU